rnacentral:rRNA from 1 species
AGUGAACGCUGGCGGUAGGCCUAACACAUGCAAGUCGAACGGCAGCACAGUAAGAGCUUGCUCUUACGGGUGGCGAGUGGCGGACGGGUGAGGGAUACAUCGGAAUCUACUUUUUCGUGGGGGAUAACGUAGGGAAACUUACGCUAAUACCGCAUACGACCUACGGGUGAAAGCAGGGGAUCUUCGGACCUUGCGCGAUUGAAUGAGCCGAUGUCGGAUUAGCUAGUUGGCGGGGUAAAGGCCCACCAAGGUGACGAUCCGUAGCUGGUCUGAGAGGAUGAUCAGCCACACUGGAACUGAGACACGGUCCAGACUCCUACGGGAGGCAGCAGUGGGGAAUAUUGGACAAUGGGCGCAAGCCUGAUCCAGCCAUACCGCGUGGGUGAAGAAGGCCUUCGGGUUGUAAAGCCCUUUUGUUGGGAAAGAAAAGCAGCAGGUUAAUACCCCGCUGUUCUGACGGUACCCAAAGAAUAAGCACCGGCUAACUUCGUG